GAAAGUAAAUAAGAGCACACAGGGGAUGCCUUGGCUCUCAGAGGCGAUGAAGGACGUGAUAAGCUGCGAUAAGCACUGGGGAUUAGCAAAUAUGAUUUGAUCCGGUGAUUUCCGAAUGGGGUAACCUGGCUGGUUGAAGACCAGUCGUAAUAUACGCAAACCUGCCGAACUGAAACAUCUAAGUAAGCAGAGGAAGAGAAAAUAAUAAUGAUUUCCUGAGUAGUGGCGAGCGAAAGGGAAAGAGCCCAAACCAGCUAUGUUACGGCAUAACUGGGGUUGUAGGACUACGAUAUGAUUAUAAUGCGAUGAAGUGGAACAGGAUGGGAAGCCUGGCAAUAUAGAGUGAGAGCCUCGUACACGUAAGUACCAUUAGUCUAGUAGUAUCCUGAGUACCGCGAGGUCGGAGACGCCUUGUGGGAAUCAGCCGGCACCAUCCGGUAAGGCUAAAUACUCCUGAGAGACCGAUAGUGAACCAGUACCGUGAGGGAAAGGUGAAAAGAACCCCGAACAGGGGAGUGAAAUAGAACCUGAAACUGUGUGCUUACAAGCGGUCGGAGCGUCCAGGUGGCGUGACGGCGUGCCUUUUGCAUAAUGAGCCUACGAGUUACUCUUCUCUGGCAAGGUUAAGUGUUUCAGACACGGAUCCGAAGCGAAAGCGAGUCUGAAUAGGGCGUAUAGUCAGGGGAGGUAGACGCGAAACCUUGUGAUCUACCCAUGGACAGGUUGAAGGUGCGGUAACACGUACUGGAGGACCGAACCGAUAAACGUUGAAAAGUUUCCGGAUGAUCUGUGGGUAGGGGUGAAAGGCUAAUCAAACUGGGAAAUAGCUCGUACUCCCCGAAAUGUUUUUAGGAACAGCGUCGUGGUGAAGUUAAAUAGAGGUAGAGCUACUGAUUGGGUGCGGGGGAGUCAAAUCCUACCAAAUCCAGACAAACUCCGAAUGCUAUUUAAUAUACACGGCAGUGAGGCGCGGGGUGCUAAGGUCACGCGCCGAGAGGGAAAGAACCCAGACCAUCAGCUAAGGUCCCCAAGUUACAGUUAAGUUGAACUAACGAGGUCCGAUUGCAUAGACAGCUAGGAUGUUGGCUUGGAAGCAGCCAUUCAUUUAAAGAGUGCGUAACAGCUCACUAGUCGAGCGAUCGGGCAUGGAUAAUAAACGGGCAUAAAAUUGUACACCGAAGCUAUGGGUAAUAUUAAUAUUACGGUAGGGGAGCAUUCCAGCGGCAGCGAAGCUAAGACGUAAGUUUUGGUGGAGCUUCUGGAAAAGCAAAUGUAGGCAUAAGUAACGAUAAGGCGGGCGAGAAACCCGCCCACCGAAAGGAUAAGGUUUCCUGAUCAACGCUAAUCGGAUCAGGGUUAGUCGGGGCCUAAGGAGAACCCGAAGGGGAAAUUCGAUGGACAACGGGUUAAUAUUCCCGUACUUUUUAUAACUGCGAUGUGGGGACGGAGUAGUGACACUGCCGCGAUCUGACGGAAUAGAUCGUUGAAGGCUGUAGGUAUAGGACCGGUAGGCAAAUCCGCCGGUCUUGCUGAGGGCUGAUAGUACCGCAAACCUUCGGGGGCGUGGAUAGUGCAGGUAAUCAGACUUCCAAGAAAAACCGCUAAGCUUCAGGUUAUAAAAACCCGUACCGCAAACCGACACAGGUAUCCGGGAAGAGAAUUCUAAGGUGCUCGAGUGAAUCAUGGCUAAGGAACUCGGCAAAAUGGCCCUGUAACUUCGGGAGAAGGGGCGCUGGUAGCAAUAUCAGCCGCAGUGAAAAGGCCCAGGCGACUGUUUAACAAAAACACAUGGCUUUGCAAAAUCGAAAGAUGAAGUAUAAGGCCUGACACCUGCCCGGUGCUGGAAGGUUAAGAGGGGAUGUCAGUCGUAAGGCGAAGCAUUGAAUCGAAGCCCCAGUAAACGGCGGCCGUAACUAUAACGGUCCUAAGGUAGCGAAAUUCCUUGUCGGGUAAGUUCCGACCUGCACGAAUGGUGUAACGAU
rnacentral:rRNA from 1 species